AUUUCCGUAACCGUCACGCGGCUAUUUUAAACGAGAUUCAGUAAGUGGAACACAUUCGCUGUUGAAAGUGCAACGUUACGUUGUUUCUUGCACUCUAGGUUAUUGUUGAUCCAGCGUAUUUAAAACAUAAUCCCGAAAUACGUUUCCUGUCUAUUUUACAGACACUCCAGUCUGCAUCUGGCAUCAUCGCUUUUGAACUUGAGGUACCUUGACAUAUCAUCAACAUACACGGCCAUGAAUGUUUUAACUCCUAUUUUCACCAGUGUGGAAACAAGGAUCGGCUUCAAAUGCGUUGAGUCCUAUGGAUUUUAAUUUGGUAUUCGAUUUUCUGUACUAUUGCCUC